GACGGAGGAUGCAAGCGUUAUCCGGAAUGAUUGGGCGUAAAGCGUCCGCAGGUGGCAGUUCAAGUCUGCUGUCAAAGACCGGGGCUUAACUUCGGAAAGGCAGUGGAAGCUGAACAGCUAGAGUAUGGUAGGGGCAGAGGGAAUUCCUGGUGUAGCGGUGAAAUGCGUAGAGAUCAGGAAGAACAUCGGUGGCGAAGGCGCUCUGCUGGACCAUAACUGACACUCAGGGACGAAAGCUAGGGGAGCGAAUGGG
rnacentral:rRNA from 1 species